AACGAACGCUGGCGGCGUGCUUAACACAUGCAAGUCGAGCGUGAAAGGCUUCGGCCGAGUAAAGUGGCGCACGGGUGAGUAACGCGUGGGUAAUCUGCCCUUGGGCGGGGGAUAACCUCUCGAAAGGGGGGCUAAUACCGCAUGAGACCACGGCUUCUCGGGGCUGUGGGAAAAGGUGGGUCGCAAGGCCUGCCACCUGAGGAUGAGCCCGCGUACCAUUAGGUUGUUGGUGGGGUAAUGGCCUACCGAGCCGAAGAUGGUUAGCUGGUCUGAGAGGACGAUCAGCCACACUGGGACUGAGACACGGCCCAGACUCCUACGGGAGGCAGCAGUGGGGAAUAUUGCGCAAUGGGGGAAACCCUGACGCAGCAACGCCGCGUGUGUGAAGAAGGUCUUCGGGUCGUAAAGCACUGUUGGGAGGAACGAGCCGCUCGUGGGGAAUAUCUGCGAGCCCGAGGUACCUCCUGAGGAAGCACCGGCUAACUCCGUGCCAGCAGCCGCGGUAA
rnacentral:rRNA from 1 species